rnacentral:rRNA from 1 species
GUCAGCGGCAGACGGGUGCGUAACACGUGGGUAAUCUGCCCUCGAGUGGGGAAUAACACGGGGAAACUCGUGCUAAUACCGCAUGACAUCAUCUGGUCCCUGGAUCGGGUGAUCAAAGCUGGGGAAACCUGGCGCUUGAGGAGGAGCCCGCGGCCGAUUAGCUAGUUGGCGGGGUAAUGGCCCACCAAGGCUACGAUCGGUAGCCGGCCUGAGAGGGUGUCCGGCCACACUGGGACUGAGACACGGCCCAGACUCCUACGGGAGGCAGCAGUGAGGAAUUAUGCGCAAUGGGGGAAACCCUGACGCUGCGACGUCGCGUGGGUGAUGAAGGUCUUCGGAUCGUAAAACCCUGUCGAGAGGGGCGAACAGCUCGGGUGCUAAUACCAUCCGGGCCUGACGGUACCUCUGGAGGAAGCCCCGGCUAACUCCGUGCCAGCAGCCGCGGUAAUACGGAGGGGGCGAGCGUUGUUCGGAAUUACUGGGCGUAAAGCGCGCGUAGGCGGUCAUGUAAGUCGGAUGUGAAAGCCCUCAGCUCAACUGAGGAACUGCGUCCGAUACUGCUUGGCUUGA